AAAUGUGAGAAGGAGGCGUGUUUCUCUUCUAAAUAGAAGACCACCUUAGCAUCUGACCUCGAUUUUCUGCUCUCCUAAACGACUGCUCUUUUCCUCUGACCUCAAACUAGUAAGACUGCUCCGUGAAUGAUGGAUUGGUGCAACACGGUGGCCCAUUUAAAGUUAACUCCUCUACUUUACGGUGCCAGGAGUGGAUAAAAAGUCACACAAGUGUAACUUGUGUGAAUUCAGUGACAUUCCGAGACAUUCAGGAAGUAGCAGAAAUGGCUCUCACCAUCCAGUGGUCGGUAAAAUCUUUAUCCUGUGAUUUAGUUUAUGUACUAUCACAAGUGCCAUGUUUUUGCAGUGUGCAGUAAACAUAUCAUAUCAUAUCACCAACUCAACUUAAAUUGGUGUUAAAUGUGGGCAAAUCCAAGUUCAUGUUAUUCUCAUAUGGCAAAGCCUCCUUAGAUCGAAACCAUCCAAUGGGCUGAAAUUCAAAUGGCUGCAUCUUCUAAGUAUUUAGGUGUCAUAUUAG